UACGGAGGGAGCUAGCGUUGUUCGGAAUUACUGGGCGUAAAGGGCGCGUAGGCGGCCUUCUAAGUCAGACGUGAAAUCCCCAGGCUUAACUUGGGAACUGCGUCUGAUACUGGAGGGCUUGAGUGCGGGAGAGGGAUGUGGAAUUCCAGGUGUAGCGGUGAAAUGCGUAGAUAUCUGGAGGAACACCGGUGGCGAAGGCGGCAUCCUGGACCGACACUGACGCUGAUGCGCGAAAGCCAGGGGAGCAAACGGG
rnacentral:rRNA from 1 species